CACGUAGGCACCAAGCGUUGUCCGGAAUUAUUGGGCGUAAAGAGCUCGUAGGCGGUUUGUCGCGUCUGCCGUGAAAGUCCGGGGCUCAACUCCGGAUCUGCGGUGGGUACGGGCAGACUAGAGUGAUGUAGGGGAGACUGGAAUUCCUGGUGUAGCGGUGAAAUGCGCAGAUACUCAGGAGGAACACCGAUGGCGAAGGCAGGUCUCUGGGCAUUAACUGACGCUGAGGAGCGAAAGCAUGGGGAGCGAACAGG
rnacentral:rRNA from 1 species